UCUGUUUUUCUAGCGAUGAGCCUUCUAGAGACCGUACCAGAAAAAAAGCCUUCUGCUGAAGAAAGAAGGCAGAAAAUAAAAUUAAAAGUUCUAAAUAAUGAAGUGAACAGACUAAACAAGUUCCGCCUUGCGGAUAAUUUAUUAGAACAAAAAGCACAUACUCAGCCUCAAGAUUCUCAAAAAAUCGAAAAAGCAAAUAGCUUUUCUUCUGCAGAAACCACCCAUUUUGCUUCUGAAGUUCGCUCGCGCAAGAUAGCAAGUAAAGUUAUAGAUGAAAGUAUAUUAACUCCCCUACAAGAAAAUUCUUUUGAUCUGGAAACAGUUAAACUCACGGAUCAAGCAACUAUUCUAGCGAAAACCGCUCGUCUUCGCUUAGCUCUAUUGAUUUUUACUGCAUUUGCUUUCGCUUGUUUACUUCUUUUUCCGAAGCAAGGUUUAAUUCUCACAAGAUACAAAAUUCAGAAUAUUUUUGGGCCUUUUAUAAUUGCGGAGAUGAUUGCGUUGCUUUUUCAGUAUCAUUUAAAAUUUA